ensembl:snRNA U6 U6 spliceosomal RNA
GUACUCGCUUCAAUAGCACAUUUACUAAAACUGGAAUACUGCAUGGAAGAUUAGCAUGGCCCAUGAGCAAGGAUGACAGGUAAUUUUGUGAAGCUGUUGUAUUUAAA